GAGAAAUCGUGCUAGUUCGAAAUAACCAAAAUUAUGGUUGACGUUCUAAUUCUGAUUUUGAUUGCUUUAAAAUAAACAAAUGUUUGUCCCUAUGUUGGGGCUUCGUUUACAACUAGUGAUUUUUCCAAGUAGUUUUUAUUCAAAGCAUUUGGUUCUUCCUAUCUAAUAUUUACUUUGACACAAACGAAAAUUACACCUUUUUACAAACGCUGGCAUGUUUGUUUUUACCAAAAACUAGGUUGAUCAAAAAAGUUCACUGGGCGCACAUCUAACUCAAAUCUUAGGUUGAAUCUGAUCAAUGAGUUCAUUGCAAAUAAACUGGAAUAUUGGUUGAGUGAAAACCAACCUCAAAAAUGAUUCGAAGCAAACUAAAUUAUUAGUUUGUCCCCGUCACUGUCAGCUAGGUCAUGCUAGCCGUUUCAUCCACUGUAUUGCAUUGUUUUCUCGACUCGCUGCAUCUUUUCUUGUCGUUUGGUCGUUUGUGCGUGAUUUUGAGCGAAUCUUGUGAUUAAAUUAUAAUUCUAUGAAUCUCGCUACAAUUAUCGUCGGCAUCGAAGGUAAAGGGAGAAGUUACAAAUUUAUUCAAAGUUUGAAAACCAUAUUUAUUUCAUAUUGUAGGUGUUUCUUCAAAUGGUGAUUCUCCCCAAGACUCCCCCAUCGGUCUUCAAUUGAAAUUUUGGGAUGUUCGUGAAAUCCGAAUAUGGAACGGGU